rnacentral:rRNA from 1 species
GGCGAACGGGUGAGUAACACGUGAGUAACCUGCCCUUGACUUUGGGAUAACUUCAGGAAACUGGGGCUAAUACCGGAUAGGAGCUCCUGCUGCAUGGUGGGGGCGUGGAAAGUUUCGGCGGUUGGGGAUGGACUCGCGGCUUAUCAGCUUGUUGGUGGGGUAGUGGCUUACCAAGGCUUUGACGGGUAGCCGGCCUGAGAGGGUGACCGGCCACAUUGGGACUGAGAUACGGCCCAG